UUUGAAACACUGAUACCUGUACGAUCAACAAAGUUAAGCAACGUCGAGCCUGUUUAGCACCUAGAUGGGUUACCGCUUGGGAAUACCAGGUGUUGUAA